GGAGUUGUAGCUCAGCGGUAGAGCGCUUGCCCGGCAUGCAUGAGGCACUGGGUUUUACCCUCAGCACCA
rnacentral:tRNA from 1 species